rnacentral:rRNA from 1 species
UGGGGAAUAUUGCACAAUGGGGGAAACCCUGAUGCAGCGACGCCGCGUGAAGGAAGACGUAUUUCGGUAUGUAAACUUCUAUCAGCAGGGAAGAUAAUGACGGUACCUGACUAAGAAGCCCCGGCUAACUACGUGCCAGCAGCCGCGGUAAUACGUAGGGGGCAAGCGUUAUCCGGAUUUACUGGGUGUAAAGGGAGCGUAGGCGGCGAUGCAAGUCAGAAGUGAAAGCCCGGGGCUUAACCCCGGGACUGCUUUUGAAACUGCACCGCUUGAUUGCCGGAGAGGUAAGUGGAAUUCCUAGUGUAGCGGUGAAAUGCGUAGAUAUUAGGAGGAACACCAGUGGCGAAGGCGGCUUACUGGACGGCUAAUGACGCUGAGGCUCGAAAGCGUGGGGAGCAAACA